GAGAGUAGUUAAGUAUCGACUCAUCCAAAAGAUGGGUUGGCUUGGUUGGCGGACCACUACUUUCACAAUCCACAACACAAAACUUAUGACUCUGAUUAAGUCAAAUUAAUUAUUAUGAAGUAAGGAAAAGUGUCCGUCAGGUUUGAAUGAAAGGUGACUACAUAGUAAUGAGCCGUUCAUUGCACACAAAGAUCCCAAGUCGAUGUGUAAUUAUCCCAAACACCUUUAGUCCCGCAAGGACGAACUGGGAAGGCAUUCUCAGAAAGAGUCAAGUAAGAUGAGAGUAAUUUAAACCUUAAGGAGUGGUAAACCUAAAAGACCGUCACUGAGAAAUACUUCUCAAAAGGAAGUGGAUAGGAGUAGAAACAAUAAUGACUCUAAAGGUUCUCAAUCAAACGUGUAAUCUCAGCGU
rnacentral:sRNA from 10 species